UUGUGGUGGCGGCUGAAGCAACAGCUGUCUUGUUUCUUUGGCUGCAGUCCACUCUCCUGGAAUAACAUGCUGACUGUCCUGUUUUCUCAGGAGCUGUUUGAACAUCACUAUCCAGAAAUCUCAUGUGUAGGGAGAUAUGAUCAACAAGACUACACAAUAUUUGCAUUUUGUGUGACAGACUCCCCAGAAACCCCUCAGCCAACAGGAUUCUGCUGUGUGGUACUUAGAGCCAGCACAAUCAAGGAGUGCGAGGACAAUCAGCCGCAUCGCUACUGGCUUCAAGCAUACAGAGUGGUUUGUAUGACCUGGCAACUGUUGUGUUGUAAAUGUCUAUCAAGCUCAUGUCUACCCAACUAAACUACAACACAAGGCUUUCCAUUCGUAGAGCUUUAAUAGAAAGACAGGACAGUUUCAUAAAUAGCAUUAAAUGUAGCUGCCAAGAUUUUGUUGAAAAAACAUGUAAAAAGCAGUCCAGAAAAAUAUAGCAGGGCUGGAAAGCUCCUUGUCACUUUGUGCAGAGUAUCAACUCUGGUAGCCAACACCCUGUCACUGCAGUGAAACCUGUUGAGCAAGACAUGCUGGUAUUUUGUAAAUAAAUGGAUGAAGGAACCCUGGAGCCUAUGGAAGAUGUAUUCAUUCAUCCUCAGUUCAAAGACAGCUUCAGAGGGAGCCUUACACCCACACACCUUGAGGGUUGGUAUAAUAGAGGCAACAUGUAGUAAUGACCCAUGAUGUAGUAGGUAGAUAUCCCCACUGCACUACAUUUCCAACUACCUAGAGUGACUGCAGGCAUGCGGAAUGGUUGAUUCAUAAUCUCAAUCUAAAAUACAAUACAAAGUUAAAAAAAACUUGUAAAAA